rnacentral:lncRNA from 1 species
UUAAAAUUAUCUGGAAGUGGACAGAGUAUAUUUGAUGAGUGCCAAUUUACAGUGGAAGUAAAAUAAACAUUCAUUCAGCUUCAAGACUAAUCAAUCGAUGAAGCCAUGGCUGUGACAAACCUAAACUUCACAUGUCUUAACAGAUAUGCAUACAUAUGCUUCGAAGGAAAAUAAAGAAAACCAACAAAGACAAUAAGCUGCUCCUUCUUCAUUUAGCCCAUCUCACGAAGAACAUGGAGCUGCUCUCCCUGAAGUGAAAGAUGGGACCUGGAGCCCUUAACCCCAGAGGUUCCUUUGCAUCUGCCCUCUGACUGCAUGGAACACGGUGUUUUAAGUCAAGAAUGAUGGUAUUAUAUGUGAGAACUCUGAAGCCUCAAAGAGAAGAGCAACUAGAAUUCUUCUUUCUUUCCUAUUGUUCAUAAACACGGUAUUAAAAUGACCACUAAAGAGCAGAA